AAUCAUGCUUUUGUUCCAUUUUUUAAAUGAUGGCAAAUGUAUUUAAAGGGGGGCUUGUAUGUUGUUUGUGAUAUAACUUCAGAAAAAUUUUCUAAGUCCUAAUUAUUUAUUGAUUUGUAAUUGUGAGUUUCAUUAAAAGGUUGUAAAAAAGUUUUGUGCGCUUGUAAACAGUUUUGGUCUUACCUUAUUCAAAAAGCCAAGUGAUAGUAAAAUCAGUACCUGUAGGAGAAGAAAGACCGGACUGGAGUAGACAGAAAGGCCGAAUCAGGAUAAAUCAUCUGUAUUAUUUGAGUUUGAUUUUCUUUUUUUAUUUGAUUGUGUAAUUUUUAUCUAGAUUUAAUUUUACUUGAGUUUUUACUUGUCAACUAAUUCACCCCCCUUUAGUUGUCAUUUGAUCCUUCUAUCCAAUCUU
rnacentral:lncRNA from 1 species